UACGGAGGGGGCAAGCGUUAUUCGGAAUUAUUGGGCGUAAAGCGCGCGUAGGCGGCUGAGUAAGUCAAGGGUGAAAUCCCUCGGCUCAACCGAGGAACUGCCCUUGAAACUGCUCAGCUCGAGGCCGGGAGGGGGUGGCGGAAUUCCCAGUGUAGCGGUGAAAUGCGUAGAUAUUGGGAGGAACACCAGUGGCGAAGGCGGCCACCUGGACCGGUUCUGACGCUGAUGCGCGAAAGCGUGGGGAGCAAACAGG
rnacentral:misc_RNA from 1 species